rnacentral:lncRNA from 1 species
CAGCCAUCCGCCACGCACCUCCUCUUUGUCCUUCUCUGCUUGUGAAAUAUGUUCGGACGCAGCGAAGAGCUGAUAGCGCAGUGCUUCAGAUGUUCAUAGGUUUAAGUCCCAGCUAAGCAAUGUCCUUGAGACAGAUAGGGCACUGCAGCUGGAGGCGAGAUUCGAACCUACAACCUUCUGGCCAAUGAAAACCACGCGUCAGACAUUCUGUAAAGUUGGCGACCGGUGAGAACCGAUCGUUGCAACGCUCUUCAAUACCGCUGGCCGAACUGAACGACGAAGACCCCCUUUCACUUGUGCGAGCAG